rnacentral:rRNA from 1 species
CCUACGGGUGGCAGCAGUGGGGAAUAUUGGGCAAUGGGCGCAAGCCUGACCCAGCAACGCCGCGUGAAGGAAGAAGGCUUUCGGGUUGUAAACUUCUUUUCUCAGGGACGCAGAAAGUGACGGUACCUGAGGAAUAAGCCACGGCUAACUACGUGCCAGCAGCCGCGGUAAUACGGAGGUGGCAAGCGUUAUCCGGAUUUAGUGGGUGUAAAGGGCGUGUAGGCGGGAGCGCAAGUCAGAUGUGAAAACUCAGGGCUCAACCCUGAUCCUGCAGUGGAAACUGGGUUUCUUGAGUGCUGGAGAGGCAAGCGGAAUUCCGGGUGUAGCGGUGAAAUGCAUAGAUAUACGGAGGAACACCAGUGGCGAAGGCGGAUUGCUGGACUGUAACUGACGUUGAGGCACGAAAGCGUGGGGAGCGAACAGGAUUAGAUACCCCUGUAGUA